GGCUGGAAGUUUCCUUGGGCAGCCAUUGGCAAGAUAACAGGGUUGAUCUGGUUUCUGGUUUCUGCUCAGAUGCGUGAUGCGUAGUCCCUAGCCUGGGAAAGUCCUAGCUAACAGAUAGACCCAGGCAGCAACUUUUCUACCCUCACCAAAUGGACAAGCAAGCUGCUUGUCUCACCCUCAGUAGUACCAGCGAAAGUCAAAGCUAUGUAGGGUGGAACAGAUCCCUCCAAAGAAACUGGACCCAGUGCAGGACCUGGUGCAUUUGUGAAGUGUCGUCUUCUCCCUCAUCCCUCAAAACGUCAAGGAUAAAAUCAACCCUGUGAGCAUAUAAAUGGCCAUAGAGGGACAGUCCCUCCAAAGAGGUUGGGCGCAACCCUAAGAUCCCAGGCCAUGAGCCCAGAGUGGGAUGAGAAGAGAGAAAACCAUUCACUCCAAGCUGAGGUUCCUGCUGCACUAAAUACAGGGACUCCCAAAGUCUGAUCAAAGGCCAGCUUCUUUUAGGGAGCGGGAAAGGAACAGGGGAAGGAGAGAGGGCUUCUGAAAGUGACCCCUAGGGCUCUGCAGGCCUUUGCAAGGCCUUAGGCUGUCAGCUGGGGGUGCCCACCCAAGUAUGACCACAUCAUCCCCACAAUUUCCAGACCCUCUGAACCCUGGCUGCCCCUCCUCCCAGAAAAGUGUCAAUGUGAAGAAGGGGAAUUUGCUCUAUCAAGUGUGACCCAGGGUUGGUGAUGAAUACCAGAGAUGGUAGGAUCAGCUAGAAUAACAUGUCACACGGUGGGCGUGGGUUGUGUGGCAGGCAGAGACUUUGAGCAGGUAAUGGCUGUCACAGACCAGCAAAUCACAGGUGUCGGGAACAACAGGAGUUACGCUCAGACUCCAAAGAACAAACACGCAGCACAAGACGUUUUGCCAAAGCAAAGCUGUUUUGAUCGUUCCCGGAUGUGACAUGUAUCGCAUGAGGAAAGAGAGCCUCUUGCACUGAGGCUGCCUAAUGGACAGCCGGCAGCUCCAAGCAGAGUGGCACUGGGCAAGGUGAGGAUGAGGGUGGAGCACCCUCCUCAUACUGCUGGCCUCUCCAUCACCGCAGGCAAGGCUUCAUAGCAGAAGCACUCUUGCCUGUGGAGUGAGGGAGGCUCACUAUUCCCAAUACC
rnacentral:lncRNA from 1 species